rnacentral:rRNA from 1 species
UACGUAGGGUGCAAGCGUUGUCCGGAAUUAUUGGGCGUAAAGAGCUCGUAGGUGGUUUGUCGCGUUGUUCGUGAAAACCGGGGGCUUAACCCUCGGCGUGCGGGCGAUACGGGCAGACGUUGAGUACUGCAGGGGAGACUGGAAUUCCUGGUGUAGCGGUGGAAGUGCGCAGAUAUCAGGAGGAACACCGGUGGCGAAGGCGGGUCUCUGGGCAGUAACUGACGCUGGAGGAGCGAAAGCCGUGGGGAGCGAACAGG